UCUCAGCAUCAAUCUCAUUUCUGCCCUCACGAUAACCUGGUGUUCUCCCUGAGUGUGUGUUUGUGUCCCAAUGUCUCCUCUGUAAGGACAGUCGUGUUGAAUUACGAGCCCACCCCACUCCAGGAUGACCUAGUCUUAGUUCAUUAAGUCUGUAACAACCUUAUAAAUAUAGUCACAUUCUGCAUCCCCCCAGAUGAAUUUGGGGGACAUACAAUUCAAAACUGAACAGGUUUCCUAGUUCUGGGACUCCACCUGAGGUCAGAGGCUUCUCUCCACGGUGACCUGUCAACUUUGAACUGAUUUCACUGGCCCUAAUCUUCCCUCUCUGAGGAUGGACUUCUGUGUUCGGGAGGCUUCUCCUUUUCCCUACGGCAGGUCCACAUCAGAGUCCAGGGCUGGGCUCCAGCUGGGCUAUCAGCUGGAGUGACAGGGACAGGUCACUGCCGCUCAUCUUGCAGGGUCCACAGGAAGGGAGGUGGAGGCUCCGUAAGGGCCUUCUCCCUCAGUCUGUUCAAACCUUGACUUCAUUUCUGGUGGACUGGAGCUUCAGUGGAUCUUUGACAAAUAGAGUAAAUAAUUUUCAGCAGAUGAGGAGCUCUCCAGUUGGGGAGUUGGAUCUAUUGCAAAGAGUUAAAUGAAACUGAUGAAAAAUGCAAGAGCAUAAAGUUCUAACAAACGUGAGACAGGUGGCACCAGACUGUCUGCUUGGAAAGAAAACUUGAAGUAGCGCCGCAACGCAAGCAGCUGCUUCCUGAAUCCAGAAGCUUCAAGUAAUCAAGUAUCUCAUGCUCCUUAUUUACAGCACCUCUUCCUCCUUCUCUUUUUGAUCUUUUUUCUCUUUUCAUUCUGUCAUUUCCCUGGAUAGUCUCAGCCACUCCCAUGACUUUAAUAUUUAUUUGCCUUUUUCAAAUCUUCAUCCAAUCUCUAUAUUAUUUUUUAUUCAAUAUCCCAUAGUUAUCUUAAAAUGUUGUACAUCCCAAAUAGACUUAAUUAUCUCCCACCCCCAAAUCCUGCUAGACUUAGCUCUCAUCCUCUCUCACACGAUCUCAGUCUCUCUUUUAUCCUGUGAUGGAGGACUUGAGUCAGUUCAUAAAAAUUUGUGGCAAUAUCAAAGAGCAAAAUGAACACUCGAAUGUGGUCUGGCCAGAGGAGAAAUAUGAAAAGCCAGCACAUAAGAUGAGCCCAGAAACAGAUGUUAAAUAGUCCUUUAAAAUGGUAAGUGGGUCUCAGAUUUAACUCUAAGCUUCCUAGUGCCCAAAGGGAAUCUGGAACCACAUUCAGCUAGGUGACUAUUAGGUGCACCAGAUUGCAACUAACUCAAUUUCCAACAGUUUCCUGUUGCAACCUGGGUGAAGUUUUCCCUGACCAAAGGGAGCCUUCUAUACUGUGGCCCCUGCUGUCCUUGACCCUCAUUCAUUGAAACAUUCAGUUUUCUAGACCCUUUUUCAAUCAGAGUGAUGGUCUGACACUGGAUGAUGUUUUACAGGUAGAUGGAGCUUAAUGAGAUACAGGCAGAAGGGCCUGUCGAAGGCUUCUCUUUCCAAAUAACAAGAUGAUGUUUUUAAGGAGAAGGCACCCCUACAUCCCCUCUGCUUGGGGCCAUGUUGUGCCUCAGGGUUACAACGACAGAGCAGGAAGAUAGAAGGAUCCUAGGUCUGCAAGGCAAGUAGAAAUUUUGUGAUUGUCCCUGAUUGUUGACUUUAAACCUCUUUAUUAUGUGUGAGAAUCACCUUGUUUAAGUCACAUUUCCCCCCCAGGUUUUUCUUUAUUUUUUUUUAAGAUUUAUUUAUUUAUUUAUGAGAGAUACAGAGAGAAAAGCAGAGACACAGGCAGAGGGAGAAGCAGGCUCCAUGCUGGGAGCCCAACAUGGGACUUGAUCCUGGGUCUCCAGGAUCAGGCCCUGGGCUUAAGGCAGUGCUAAGCCACUGAGCCACCGGGGCUGCCCCAGGUUUU
rnacentral:lncRNA from 1 species